UUUACUCUCCCAGUUGGUGAAAAGCAGAAGGGACCCCUUAGAUGUGUCAGCCACCCUUGGAGGAGGCAACUCCUGCUUUGGUCGUUGUAUAUUGCUAAAUAUCCAACUCUCAUUGCAAAACAGAGCAGAAAUUCAGCCUGCCACCCUUGACUUGCUUCGUCUUUACCAAACUGGGGUUGUGCCAAAGAUUUGAGGCUAGAAAGUGCUUUUCUUGUACUUUUCUGCUACAGGUAACAUUGUGCUGAUUUUACAGCUGUGUGCACUGCUGGUACUUUUCAGCUUCCCAUAUAAUCUAACUGAUCAUCCUGGUAAAACCUUUGCUGCAUGAACACAGGAACAAGGGAAUAUACUCAGCCCUCAUGGGAGACAGAGCCAGUGACCCGGAUAAGACUUGGCCUUUCAGCUCUUCUGGACUACAUUGGCAAAGGCCUUCCAAAUGGUUUUCUUAGCUCUGCUGCCUGCUCACUCAUUCACAAGCUUAGGACCAUUUGAAAAUCCUUCACAGGCUUCUUUGUCCAUACCUUGGCUCUAUCAGGUCUUACUUUGUACUGAAUUGGAAGAAUAAUACAAUCCAAUUCUAUUUUUUGUUUACCUCAUAAGAAGAGGGUGUUCAAACCAUUCUAAAGUUGAUCCAGAUUCCUGUGGACACUAAGCUAUAUGGAGAGCCUACUCAACUAAUCCUGUAUUCUACCAGUUGCCACUGAAAGAAUCUUAGAAAUCCAGAUUUUCUCCAACAAGUGCAUUCUGCUAUCACCUGGCAGGCCGGGGCUUUUCCUCUUUCAUUAUCCAAUUGUUUGUUAGAACCUGGGUCAGAGAUGGAAGAGUACAGCAUGGUUUUGUAAUGGACCUUGCACACAGCAAAUAUAUCCCUAAACUAAGACCAUCAAGCAAAACGAAACACCCCUCUUCUAAGGUGUUUAGCAGAUUUCCAAGUGUUACUUUUUCAGUCUAGGUUUCUAAAAGUAAUUUUGAAUAUUUGCUCCUCCCUAUUGUUCACAGGCAUUUUACAGCUAAAAGCAGUCAGCUACAUGCUUGAAUUGCCACUAAAAGAGAGUUCACUCUAGAGAAAAGCAGUUAUCAGCUGUGACUGAGAGAGCAGGGAAAGGAUAAGAAAGAGGAGAGAUCGUGGUUACAGACAAUGCAGCCAUCCAAUCAGAAAGAUAUGCCUAAGGCCCCUGGGGCAGAGUUUACAUGAAACCUUCAGCACCGUCUUCUCCCUGCACAACUGGGGAAGGAGUAUGGACUACACUGUUUUUCCCGAAAUGUACAGAAAUGUGAAGCUAUAGGCCUGACAGGAUGUCUAGAUAGAAAUAGCUUCUAACCAACCUCAUUGGUGACCCCAAUAGAGGGACGUGAUUGUGAGCUGAUGCCAAGGGCUCUGCAGGCCGGCUGGAUGCAGCAACCUGGACCAGCUCCCAGGAAACGGAAAGACAUGGCCCCAGAUUCCUAGAAGGCUCCAGAUGGAGGUGAUUGAAAUGAGGGAGGGACUAGGAACCAAACAGAUGUCUAUAAAACUGACCACAAAGAAAACAUCUUAGAACUGACCACUGAUGUAUAAGACUAAAAAUCUCAGUCUAUGCCUUCUACUUUUAUUGAACAUUCAGUGAGCAAAAGACAGACUGAAGAACUGUUCAGAGUAAAAGAGGUUAAAAAGACUUAUCAACUAAGUGAAACGUAUGAUCCUAGAUCCUUGAUGUGGGAUCAGGAAAAAAAUGCUAAAAAGGACAUUAUUGGUAUGACUGGCAAAUGGACUAUAUUGUAUACUACAUACAUUUCCUGAGCAUGAUUAUGAAAGAGAAUGCCUUUACACUUGUUCUUAGGCGAUCCACACUGAAGUAUCUGGUGUUAAUAGAAUGACUGUAAAUUACUCUUAAAUGGUUCAGCAAAAAUAACAAGUUUAUCUAUAAUAUGUAUUGUAUAAUAUAUAUAUGGAAAGAGAGAGAGACACAGGGAGAGAGAGGCAAAUGGGAAAGUCAGUAGAUCUAGAUAAAGAGCAU
rnacentral:lncRNA from 10 species